GAUGAAGAACGUAGCGAAAUGCGAUAAGUAAUGUGAAUUGCAGAAUUCAGUGAAUCAUCGAAUCUUUGAACGCACAUUGCGCCCCCUGGUAUUCCGGGGGGCAUGCCUGUUCGAGCGUCAUUUCACCACUCAAGCCUCGCUUGGUAUUGGGCAACGCGGUCCGCCGCGUGCCUCAAAUCGUCCGGCUGGGUCUUCUGUCCCCUAAGCGUUGUGGAAACUAUUCGCUAAAGGGUGUUCGGGAGGCUACGCCGUAAAACAACCCCAUUUCUCAGGUUGACCUCGGAUCAGGUAGGGAUACCCGCUGAACUUAAGAAUAUCAAUAAGCGGAGGA
rnacentral:misc_RNA from 1 species